rnacentral:rRNA from 1 species
UGAGGAAUAUUGGUCAAUGGGCGAGAGCCUGAACCAGCCAAGUCGCGUGAGGGAAGACGGUCCUACGGAUUGUAAACCUCUUUUGUCGGGGAGCAAUAAAGCGUACGCGUACGCAGAUGCGAGUACCCGAAGAAAAAGCAUCAGCUAACUCCGUGCCAGCAGCCGCGGUAAUACGGAGGAUGCGAGCGUUAUCCGGAUUUAUUGGGUUUAAAGGGUGCGCAGGCGGAAAGUGCAAGUCAGCGGUCAAACGACGGGGCUCAACCCCGCUCUCGCCGUUGAAACUGUCUUUCUAGAGUGAGCGAGAAGUAUGCGGAAUGCGUGGUGUAGCGGUGAAAUGCAUUAGAUAUCACGCAGAACUCCGAUUGCGAAGGCAGCAUACCGGCGCUCAAACUGACGCUCAUGCACGAAAAGCGUGGGAUCGAACA